UCUCUCUCUCUCUCUCUCUCUCUCUCUCUCUCUCUCUCUCUCUCUGUGUUUCGUUUGCUCAUCCAUCCGAAAUCAACAGGUCCUUCAAUGGAGCAUUCCACUCCCAGGGCCAUCACCUCCAUCUUAGUGUCAGCUCUCCUGGUAUCUCCAUCCCACUGCAGAGAAGUCCCAGUCCGCCAUCAUCCAAGCACAGGCGGAGAUGGUGAGGUGAGCACACAAGGAUCUGUGAGCCUGGGCAGGGAGUCACUGCUCACGCCACCUUCUCCUACAGCCAACAUGAGCCCCCCUGGAGGACCCUCCAGGUGAGCCAUGGCAUGGAGCUUCCUUCAAGGGUCUGCUUGCUUGCAUUACUACUACUCGUUCGUCUGUUUCAGUUUCUGUCUCAAUAAGAACUGUCGUAGAAGGCAGUGAACAUGAGUGUUAAAAUGUUUCUUGUGGAUCCGAGUAACCUUAAUCAUACUUGGGAGUCUCAGUUCAAGUUCUUUA